GACGAACGCUGGCGGCACGCUUAACACAUGCAAGUCGAACGAGAUUGCGGGUUCGCUCGUAAUUUAGUGGCGCACGGGUGAGGAACGCGUGACUACCUGCCUGUUGAUGGUGGAUAACUCCGGGAAACUGGAGCUAAUACAGCAUAAGCUCGAGAGAGGAAAGACGAAAGUCGUCGACAGAGGGGGUUGCGUCUUUUUUGUUAGUUGGUAGGGUAAAGGCCUACCAAGCCGAUGAUCAGUAGCUGGUCUGAGAGGAUGGUCAGCCACACUGGAACUGAGACACGGUCCAGACUCCUACGGGAGGCAGCAGUGGGGAAUAUUGGACAAUGGGCGAAAGCCUGAUCCAGCGAUGCCGCGUGAGUGAUGAAGGCCUUAGGGUUGUAAAGCUCUUUUGACAGGGACGAUGAUGACGGUACCUGUAGAAUAAGCACCGGCUAACUCUGUGCCAGCAGCCGCGGUAAUACAGAGGGUGCUAGCGUUGUUCGGAUUACUGGGCGUAAGGGCGUGUAGCGUUGUAUAGUCAGAUGUUAAGACCGGGCUUACCUGGGGGGUGCGUUUGAUACUUGUAUGACUAGAGUGCAAAAAGGAAUGGAAUUCCGGUGUAAAGUGAAUUCUUAAUUCGGGGGAACACAUGGGAAAGGGCCUCUUGUAGUCUCUCGGACCCUAGGCCACACUGGGCAAGUUAACCUGGUGGAGCCUCUCAAAGAGACUAAUUCGGAAUUUUGUGCUA
rnacentral:rRNA from 1 species